CCCUGUGCCCAGCACAUAGUUAGUGCUCCAGAUGAUGGGAGACUCAAUGGAGAGACACGUGAGUGGAUGGAUGUUUUGCUGAAGGCAUCCAAUGUGGCAGAACCGGCAGCAGCAAACUGAUUCUGUCUGGAAUUUGGAAGCCAGGGAGGAACAGCCUCGAAUGGACAGGAUGCAGAGAUUCAGAGAGUCUAAGCAACUUUUCUAAAUCAUCUAGCUGGAAUUCAGUAACUGAGCCAGGAUCUACCCCAGGUCUGUCUGACUCCAAAGCCUGUGUCUUCCAGCACACACUGCUGCUGCCUGGGGAAUGUGGAUAUGAUGUCUGGAGCUCUAGCAACCAUAUCAGACCACAAGGAUGAAUGUACACCCCAGGAAUGGAAGAGAGGAAAGCCAGAAAAAGACUCGGUCCCUGAUGGCUGAAGAGCUACCAUACCUGCCCCUAGAUCUUCUAUUUCUGAUCAUCUUCUAUGCAAGGCCUCCGCAUUCCUUUCCCAGAAGGCUUCCAGUGUUCCAAGUUUCUCAUGUAUCCUUUGAGAGAUGGGUUCUGUGCACACAAGCCAAUAUACGGCUAUAGUCUUUUCUUCCCCUUCUCCCCUUCUGCUGUGCACUUUGAUUUUCCUGCCUAACUCUCCAUCCUGGAGGUGGCGGGAGACCAGCUCAUGAACUUCCUUUAUUCUGGUUGUCACUGCGCCUUUAUCAGAUGCCAGUGUGGGCUAUACUGCAAUUUAGUAUCGAUGCCUUAUUGACAGACAUGGUUGUUUCUAAUAUUUGGGGCAUUACCUUAAAACUCUCCUGCCUCAAUUUCCUCAUCUAUGAAGAAUGCAGAACAGAGCCUGGCACAAGACAUUCAAUAAAUAUUGAAGAGUAAUAUAUAAAGAGUAGCUCUUUUGGUCAUUAUUCUCCCUCUUUUUUCCAUUUUAUUAAUUCAUUCACGCAUACUCUGAGCCUACGUGCAUGCUGUUCUCUCUUUCCUUCCAUGCUGUUCCCCUUUCCCCUCCCUUCUAUACCCUCUUCCUUGGGUUGCCCAGCCAUAUGGUGUUUUAGUGCCUUGUCCUUCCCCUAAUCGAAAGCACAAGAAGCAAAAGCACACUGAGCAGAUAGCAAUGAACUAAUUGACAAAAAUAAAUAAGCAAGCCAACCAGACAUUCAUGUUAUCAGGUUAUUAAUUCAUUCAUUCAAAAAAUAUUUUUGGGCACCUGCUGUGUGCCAGGCCCUGUGGUAGGCACUGGGGGUGAAAUGUGACCCAGUGGUCACAUGUCCUAGCUGAGGUGCCAAGACAGAGUUUAUUAGACAGUGAUAGAAUUUGCAAGAUAGGCCAGGCGUGGUGGCUCAUGCCUGCAUUCCCAGCACUUUGGGAGGCCAAGGUGGGUGGGUCACCUGAGGUCAGGAGUUUGAGACCAGCCUGGUCAACAUGGCAAAACCCCGUCUCUACUAAAACUACAAAAAUUAGCCGGGCGUGGUGGCAGGCACCUGUAAUCCCAGCUACUUGGGAGCCUGAGGUAGGAGAAUCACUUGAACCUAAGAGGCGGAGGUUGCAGUGAGCCAAGAUCGCGCUACUGCACUCCAGCCUGGGCGACAGAGCAAGGCUCCAUCUCAAAAAAAAAAAAAAAAAAAUUGGCAGGAUCGCCCACCACAAUGCACAUCUUGACAGGAAAUAUCCAAGAAUGGCUACUGGACCCUUAGUCUAAGGCAAGGACAUUAAGCAGAUCAAGAGAGUGGAAAUGGGAAGAUAUUUUUGAAGAAAGUUGUUGGUGUACAGGGCUGGGGAUUGGGAAAUGCUCUGUACAAAUCCCAAACCUGGUUAAAAAAAAGGCACCCAAAGGAUCAUCGGAGGGCUUGCUGUGUGCCCUGUAGCUGGGCACAGGGCAGUGGUGCCUGCCUCUUGGUGAAGGCAGCUGAAGGGGCCUGUGGCAGCAGCAUACGGGGGGUCACCUGUAAAUAUGCAUCAGGUGCAGAGAGCAAGAAGCCAUCUGACAGCAGCACCCAUCACAGGAAUAUUUUUCUGGUUUUCUUCCCUCUCCUCCCUCUUUUUUUUUUGAGAUGGAGUCUCACUCUGUUGCCCAGGCUGGAGUACAGUGGCGGCUCAAUCUUGGCUCAUUGCAACCUCUACCUCCUGAGUUCAAGUGAUUCUCCUGCCUCAGCCUCCUGAGUAGCUGGGAUUACAGGCACUCACCACCAUGCCCAGCUAAUUUUUGUAUUUUUAGUAGAGAUGAGAUUUCGCCAUGUUGGUCAGCCUGGUUUCGAACUCCUGACCGCAAGUGAUCUACCCGCCUUGGCCUCCCAAAGUGCUGAGAUUACAAGCGUGAACCACUGUGUCUGGCCCCUCCCCCUACUUUAACCCUGGUGGGGUCAGGAAGAACAGCCAGCAUGGGAGAAAGGGAGAGGGCAAAGGAGGAUGGAUUCCUCUUCCUGGGCAGGUGCCCCAUCUGGAGCCAGCCUGGGCUAGGGAGAAGAAAAUUCCAAGUUUAAAUUGAGCUCUGAGUUUUGGUUAUUACCAAAUUGGGACUGGCUAUUUCAUGCCGAAUUGAAACCAGGAUUAUGGCUUAGAGUGAUGGCAGAACUUUCUAUUGCCUAAGAAGGAGCAGGAGAGUUGUGGAACUACGGAGUUUUCACCGGGACAGGGGAUCAAGGGCAGGCAGGCAGGGACUUCAAGAAACAAAACUGCAGCUGCUUUUCUGAUUACACCACAGGAAUCCUCUGUGUUCAAAACUCUGGUUACAUAAUUUACAUGAACGUGCUCAGGUCUUUCAUUAAAAUGCGUGUCCUUCUUCAGGCUCCCUGCUCCAUGGGGGCAGGGGUUAAGUCUGCAUCGCUCCCCAUUUCAUCCCCAGGGCCUGGAGCAUAGCAGAUGCUCGGCAGCGUUUACCGAGUGAAUGGAUGAAACCAGGGGCAGCCUAGAUGUCCAGCCACGGGAGAGUUCAUUUCUCAUUGUAAAUUAACACUUGGUAUCUCAACCACAUGCUUCGGUCCCUUGGGACUGUAAGGAAUGUGCAGGCUGCUGGGAGGCCAGUCAGUUGUGGGGUCUACUGACUGGCUCAUGGGUCUGGAUGCCUCUAAGGUGGAGGCCUGGGUGAGUGGCAGGUGCCUUCUGGCAGGACCUGCCUCAGUGCUCAGGUGUGCUGCUUGCCUUGGGCAAAAAUGAACCAAAACUUUCUUCCAUGAGGAAGAAAGCGGAGCCUCGAGAGGAAAGUCCAGGCAGAUCUCGGCUCCACCACUGACCCUCUGUCUGACUCAGCUUCCAUAGUUGUAAAACAAAAGGGUUUUAUGACAUCCACCUAAGGGGAGCAAUGGGAAGCAGGGGUUGUCCCAGGUUCAGGUCUGAGCUUCUGUUCCAUGCACUGGCUAGAGUGUGAUGACCCUGGGCAGGUCACUAAAAUAGUAAAUAACCCUUAUUUAUUACUACCUACUGUAUGCCAGGGGUGUUUAGUGCUUUUUAUAUAGAGAUAUUAACUCAUAUACUCUUUACAACAGCAGUAUGAAGUCGGCCACUUCAUUUUACAGUUGAGGAAAUGGAGGCACAGAGAGGUUAAGCAACUUGUUCAAGGUCACACAGCUAAUAGUGAUAAAGCUGAUAUAGGAACCUGUAUCAAUGUACUUGGGCUGCCAUAACAAAAUGUCACAGACUGGGUGGCUUAAACAUCAGAAAUUUAUUUUCUCACUGUUCUGGAGGCUGGAAAGUCCAAGAUCAAGGUGUCAGCACAGUUGGUGUCUCCUGAGGUCUCUUUCCUUGGCUUGCAGAUGGCUGCCUUCUUGCUGCAUUCUCACAUGGUCCUUCUCCUGUGCAUCACACUCCUGGCAUCUUCCUAUUCUCACAAGGACACCAGUUCUAUUGCAUCAGGGCCUUGCCCUUAUGGCUUCAUUUGCUUCCUUCCAGGCUCCCAAGUUUCAAUUUUAUCAUGUAUAAAAAGAUAAUUGUGAUGAUAUCUACAUCAGAGAGCUGUCAGAGGAUAAAAUGAGACAACAUACAAAGGCCUUUUAAAACAAUAGGACACUAUUGUUACAUGAAGAUAUUAAACAAAUAAACCUCAUAACCCCCAGAGUUUGAAGACAUGAGGGUUGACGCUGGGGACCACAUAUUGGCUGGCUCAGUUGGAAAGACACUCUUUUUAAUUGUCUCCUGACAGAAUUCACAAGUUAACCCUCCUUGAGAUGUCUAUCACCCCUUGUCCAUCCCUCCCCAUCAUCCUUGCUGUAUUAGGCCAUCUCCCACUGCUUGUUUGAGACUCAGUUCAAGUGUUGCCUCCUACAGGAAGGCCUCCUGGGUUUUCCUGGACUGAGUGGUUACCUUCGUUUUCACACAGCCUCCUGUUAGCCUUAGCACACACCACAGGUACUAGACAGCCUGCUACUUUUCAGCCUUUCCCAGACUGAAGCUCCUGGGUGGGCAUGAUUUUAUCUUAUUCUGCUUGUGCCGCACUGGGCACACAGCGUGUGGUCAAGUGAAAUGUUUGGGGAAAUGGAUUGAAUUUCUUAUUUUCCAAAAUACUUUUUCCUUUCACUUUUCCAGCUUUCAUCCUUUAUCUCGCACCCCCGCCCCGCCAUUUUUUCUUUCUACAUUUCUAAACAUUUUUCUGAUUUCAAAGCAUAGCAUGCCCUUCCUAAAAAAAUUGGCAAAUUUGAAAAAAAAAAUCACAUGUAAAAUAAAAAUCUGUGAUUCCACUACCUGGAUGUUUUUCCUUUACACAAAGUUCCAUCCAAUCAUUUUCCCCUGUAUGUAUGUGUGUUUAUAUAGCUAUAUCUACAUCUAUAUAAUACAUAUAUGUAUGUGUGUACAUAAGUGCAUGUAUGUAAGUGUAUAUAUUGGUGAUAAUAAUCACAUAACUACAUGCGCAAUUUUGCCGCUUUUUCCUUUUCUUCACUUCUUAUCAAACACAUUCUCAUGUCAUUAAAAUACCUUUGUAAACACCAACUUCCAUGACAGCUGCACAUUCUGUUGUUUGUGAUAUCGUUGAUUUUCCCCUCUCUGUUUCUGAGGGCUCCUUCAUAAACCACCUGUGGGUUCCCAUCGUGUUCCUGCGUUCCCUCCUCCCUGGCUCCACGCUCCUUCAACAUCUCUCCCUUCAAGCAGAUGAGUCACUUCUUCCAUAGCUUACAAAUUGGUCUGGGCACUUUGUUCCUGGAGAAUCACAGAAUUUCACGUCCACAGAUUCUUUCAUCUUGAGGAACUCAAAGGCCUUUUUAAAGAUGGAGACAGCUCCCCGGAGACUUACCUUGCCUGGGACCCUCGUCUUUAUUCAUCCCUAGUGCUUCCAUCAAGUGAGCAGGUGUAUAACAUAGACAGCCCCAUUUAUGGAUGGAAACACCAAGGCCCAGAGUGACUGUUUGCUUUUCCCGAGAAGUGGACUGUUGCUUUCCAGUUGGCUGAUGCCCGCGUCUGCUAGGCUUUCAUUAAGGAUCACACCACCGUCUUUGCUUUUCCUUUCAGUCUAAACAAAGCCUAAAAUAAAGUGCCUCCGAACACUGCAUUCUUUCUAACGAUUUCAAGAGGGCAGCCCAAACAACCUCUAGAGAGGCAGCUCCCUGGUUCGUUGCAAUGUGAGCUCUCCCACUGCCUCCGAUGUCUGCUUCCCUGUCUCCCCAUUUCUCAUCCCCACUCCUGCUGUCGUCCAGCUGUCUCCUCUCCCUGGAGUCGUUUCUCCUUUUUCCCUGACUAAAUUCUUAACCUCUGAGACUCCUCUCCCAGGUCGCUUCCUCUGGAGGCCUUUUAUCCUCUCCGAGUUGGAGUUCAGGGCCUCUCCCUUGGUUGGCUCUGCCCGUACUCAAUCCUCCUGUCUGUGCUCACAUCUCCACCAGGGUCGGCAAAGACUGUGAAAACAGGAGGAGAAAUGUCCUGCUCGUGUCUAUACUCCCGUUGCCUAGCACGGUGCCUGGGGGAUGCUAAGCACACGAGUGUGUCCGAAUGAAGCCCCUCAGUCACAGCUAUCUACCAUGUGGAUUUUUGUGACAUAAAAUGAAAAAAGAGACGAGGGGAGAUAGGAACUUUAGGAGAGGAGAAGGCAAGAUUAAAUCAAAUUGCGACAAUUAUCCAUACACAAGACAUCGGGCUGACUCCACCUUCUGGACCCCCGUGCCAGUUACCGUCCUCAUUUUAAAAGGGUACUUGGAGCCAGACGCAGUGGCUCACACCUGCAGUCCCAGCACUUUGGAAGGCUGAGGAGGUCAGAUCAAUUGAGCCCAGAGUUCAAGACCAGUCUGGGCAACAUAGCAAGACCUCAGCUCUACAAAAAAUAAAAAUAAAAUAAUUAGCCAAGCAUGGUGGUGUGCACCUGUAGUCUCAACUACUUGUGAGGCUGAGGUGGGAGGAUCACUUGAGCCUUGGAGUUUGAGGCUGCAGUGAGCCAAGAUCACACCACUGCACUCCAGCCUUGGCAAGAGAGUGAGACCCUGUCUCAAAACAAACAAACAAAACAGAAGAGAAUUUGACAUGCAGUUUAUCUAUCCAUGUCAUAUGCAUUGAUCCCAGUGAAGCAGUCCUCCUCCAUUCUCCAGCCUGGCCGCCUCUGGGCACCCUUUUCCAGGUGGUGCCACUGGGACACCAUGACCAUGUGAAGCUGUGCGCAGACAGCCAGAGGCCUCCCCCUGGAGCACCAGACUCCAUUGCCUCUUGCUCUCGGGCUUUCCUCACUCAGGUGUUCACCAAGUAUUGCAGAGAGCUUCCGAAGAUGACCUCAAUGAUUUCCUCCUCCUGGUAGUCACACCGUUGUGUAAGCCCCUGCCCUUGACUGUGGGCUGGACCUAGUGAAUCAUUUCUAACCAUAGAAUAUGGCAAAAAUGAUGGGAUGUCACUUCUGUGGUUAGGUUCGAAAAAGGCCAUGGUUUCUGUCUUGCUAGCAGAUUCUUUCUAUUGACUUCUUGGCUUGCAUCCUUUGAUGAAACCAGCAGGAGGCCCAUGUGGCAAGAAACUGAAGGUGACUUUCAGCCAAAAAUCAGUGAGGAACCGGAGCCCCCAUUCAGCAGCCACAUGAAACUGAACGCUGCCAACAGCCACUGAGUGAGUGGACCCUUCCCCCUUAGAGUCUUCCCAUGACAUCACAGCCCCUGGACUGACACAGCUUGAUGGCAUCAGCCAGAGACCGUGAAGCAGAGCACCCAGAUAAGCUGUGCUUGGACUUCUGACCCACAGAAACCACGAGAUAAUAACUGUUGUUUCAAGCCACUAAGUUUUGGGGUAAUCUCCUACACCAUGAUCAAUAACUCACACAGCACCCACUCUCCCACUCUGUGCCAUUGUCCUAAAUGUCUUCUUUGGACAAUUUGCAUCUAUUUGUACCCCUUCCUAUGAACUUCCCAAUCCUGCUAUUUCAUAGGGGAUGAAAUGUAUUUCCUAUGUUCCUUUGCUGCUAGGGUUCUGGAUAAAAUUUAGGCUCUGCCAGCCAGGCGCAGUGGCUCACACCUGUAAUCCCAGCACUUUGGGAGGCCGAGGUGGUCACAUCACGAGGUCAGGAGAUUGAGACCAUCCUGGUCAACAUGGUGAAACCUUGUAUCUACUAAAAAUGCAAAAAUUAGCUGGGCAUGGUGGUGCACACCUGUAGUCCCAGCUACUCGGGAGGCUGAGGCAGGAGAAUUGCUUGAACCCAGGAGGCGGAGGUUGCAGUGAGCCGAGAUCAAGCCAUUACCCUCCAGCCUGGGUGACAGGGUGAGACUCUGUCUCAAAAAAAAAAAAAAAAAUUAGGCUCUGCCAAUGAGAAGCACAUGUGCAACAUUUGGAAAGCAGAAUUUGCUCUGGCAGUGGCAGCUGGUGGGCAGGCUUUGGCAGGAGUGAGCUUUGCAGUGGUCAUACUCUCUAUUUAUCAGUUCAUGGGUAAGGGACUGGUGGGGCAUCAGCUGGAAUUGCCUACAGUAUCCUGAGUUCAGAAUCAAGCAGAGUGACCUUGAAGCCUAAAGCCCAGUAACAGCCUUAUCACUUUCACUCCUCCAGCUCAUCCAACAGUUUUCUAGCACCUAUUUAUUUCCUCAUAUUGAAUACCUCGCUGCCAAAAAUACCUAGACACAUUUCUGGUUCCUUGACUGAACUCUGCUGAUAGAGCCAUUCACUAUGCAAAGCCCUGGGGCUACAGGUGAACCUGACAUAAUUAAUUCCAUAACACGACACUCACACUCUAGUGAUGGAGACAGAAAGUUAGAAAGUAAUGUCACUACAAUGUACCUGUCUGUUAGACCCCACUCAGAGGUGAGUAUACAGUGAAGCAUGAAGCUUAAGCUUCAGUGUCCCUCACUUGCCUGGGUCUCUACCCAGGUCUGAGAAAGGCCUUGCGAUUUUGUUUUCACAAUUUUCUGGGUUUUGUUUCUCUUUCUUUUUCUUUUCUUUUCUUUCUUUCUUUCUUUUUUUUUUUUUUUUUUUGAGAGAGUCUCUAUCUGUCACCCAGGCUGAAGUACAGAGACGCAAUCUAGGCUCACUGCAACCUCCGCCUCCUGGGUUCAAGCGAUUCUCCUGCCUCAGCCUCCUGAGUAGCUGGGAUUACAGGCACCUGCCACCAAGCCUGGCUAAUUUUUUUGUAUUUUUAGUAGAGACAGGGUUUUACCAUGUUGGCCAGGUUGGUCUUGAAAACUCCUGACCUCAGGUGAUCUGCCCACCUUGGCCUCCCAAAGUGCUGGGAUUACAGGUGUGAGCCACCACACCCAGUCUUGUUUCUUAAUAAGCUCUUCCCCAUUCCCCAAAUUGUAUAAACUCUGGGCCCCUCAAAAUCUGGCUCAGGUUUGGCCUCUGGGGACCCUCACCCACUCUGAUGGCUUUGCCCACCAGCUGCUUGGGCAAAAACCUCUCAGAUCCAUUCAGUCAGCUAAGCCUGAGCUUUAUAGCUCAAGCCACCCUGAGGCAUUCUCCCAGCAGUGCCUCAGGACCUCCCGCUCAACACUUUUUCCUUCCCUAAACCAGCUCUUCACCCUGGGUGUUCCCUUUGUUAAAUGAUAUCACUGUCCACCCAGUGGCCCAAGGCAGACAUGUGCUGCUCUGUGGAGUAAAAUGCCCCUGAGUGUUGAAGAAAAUAAGUGAGAAUGAGGCACAUUUGGUAAUCCUGUCGCCAGAAGGCUGGCCCAGGGGAAGGCAUGUCUGGGCUCAGGGUCUGAGGGAUAGCACCUACCUAAGUGACUCCAGGCAGUAAAUGUGAUGUAGGGACCUUGGAACUGGCCCCAAAGUCUGAUCUCGAUGGCAAGGUGUAUUAGUCAGGGCUCUCCAGAGAAACAGAAUUCACAGGAUGUGCGCACACAGACAUACAUACACGCAGACACACACACAAAAUUUAUUAUGAGGAAUUGGCUCACAUGAUUAUGGAGGCUGCGAAAUCCCCCACACUGGAGACCCAAGAAAGCUGGCGGUAGAGUUCAGGGCAGUCCAGAGGCCCAAGAACCAGGAGGGCUGAUGGUGCAUGUCUCAGCCUGAGGGCAGGAAAAGCCCAAGUCCCAGCUCAACCCGUCAGGCAAAGAAAAGGGACACAUUCUCCCUUCUUCCACCUUUUGUUCUAUUUGAGCCUGCAACAGAUUGGACGAGGCCCACCCGCACUGAGGAGGCCCGCCUGCCUUUCUCAGUUCACCCAUUUAAAUGCUCAUCUCAUCCAGAAACACCCUGGCAGGCACACAAAAAACAAUGUUUAGCAGAAUAUCUGGACACCCCUUGAUCUAGUUAAGCUGCCACAUAAAAUUAACCAUCACGGCCAGGCGCAGUGGCUCAUGUCUGUAAUCCUAGCACUUUGGGAGGCCGAGGCGGGUGGAUUAUUUGAGGUCAGGAGUUCAAGACCAGCCUGGCCAACAUAGUGAACCUUGUCUCUACAAAAAAUACAAAAAUUAGCCGGGCAUGGUGACACGCGCCUGUCCAUGUGUCACCCACAUGGACAAUCCCAGCUACUCGAGAGGCUGAGAAGCAUGAGAAUCAAUUGAAUCCAGGAGGUGGAGGUUGCAGUGAGCCGAGAUUCUACUACUGCACUCCUUGGGUGACAGAGUGGACUUGGUCUUAAAAAAUAAUAAUAAUAAUUAACCAUCACACAAAGUGGGAAGGAAAGUGGAAACAUGUCACCAGGUGAGUACCCAGAUAAUUGAAAGAGGUGCAGGCCAGGCGCAGUGGCUCAUGCCUGUAAUCCCAGCAUUUCGGAAGGUCGAGGCAGGUGGACCACUUGAGGUCAGGAGUUCAAGACCAGUCUGACCAACAAGGGGAAAUCCUAUCUCUACUGAAAAUACAAAAUUAGCCUCGCAUGGUGGCACAUGCCUGUAAUCCCAGCUACUUGGAAGGCUGAGGCAGGAGAAUUGCUUGAAUCCGGGAAGCAGAGGUCGCAGUGAGCUGAGAUUGCGCCAUUGAACUCCAACCUGGGCAACAAGAGCAAAACUCUGUGUCAAAAAAAAAAAAAAAAAAGUGCAGUCCAGUGGCAGGAAGAAGUUGAGAAUGAGUCAGAGGUGAGGCUUUGAGUGCACAUGUGGCCUGGAGCUCCCUCUGCCUCUUUCUUUUGGGGGUUCCCCUUUUGCAUGGCACCUGUUGCUCACAGGAUGGUAUCUAAAUUUAAAUUCCCUCCAAACAGAUCCUGAGACAAGGAUUGGUUCAAGCAGUUUAUUUGGUGAUGAUCCAGAAAGCACAGGGAAGGAAAGGAAAGUGAGGCAAGAAGGGAGGGAAAGUCAAUCAAGGGGGGAGAUGGUCAGGUCUUCAGUCUUCGCUGAGGGCAACCAGGGCUCAGCCCCCUGGGAGCCUCUGCAGGAGGAUGUGGAGGUGCAGCUCAGAACUGUCCCAUGCAGAGUGAGGAGCAUAGCGUGUUUAUCCCCCAACUCUUUUCCCUCAUUGGUUGAGGGUCACUCCUAGGAUGUUCACUUCCUGGCACUUCCGACUUGCUCUGUGUGCCAAGCCAAACAAGCCCCUGCAGCCAGAGAGAGGGGAGCUCAUGGCUUGUUUGAGAGUGAUCUGCAGUGAGCUCUGGGCCGUGGAAUGCUGCGGGCCAGGCAUUGAUUGCUCCUAAAGGCUGGCCGCCUUCCCUUUGGUGCAACCAGUCUGUGGGAAUGCCUACCUACUCAACCUUGAUGGUGGGAAGUGAGGGGGGCACACCUCUUCUCCUCGGGUCACUAAAUGGCUUCUGGGGUCGUGCCAUGGCCAGGAGCAGGAAUAGUGCAGGCUGAGAGGAGACUCACCAGCUUUGAGUUGACAGACCUAGAUUUAAAUUCUGGAAUCACCUCUGGAAAGCCUGUUGCAAUUUCCUUAUUUUUGGAGCCUCGGUUUUCUCCUGUGUGAGGUGGGGCUAGGCCCAGCAUCUGCUCUGCAGGCCUGUUGUGAGAAUCACAAUGGAUCCCCAUCAGCCCCUGUCCCCUAGUGGUUGUUGAUGAAUAGCAACAGGGAUUGGAGGAUUCUGCUGACUCAGUGGCUUCCCCCUGCCAGCCCUGACCUUGGCCUGAGGGCUUCCCCCAGUUCCCAGCUCCUGCUGCCGCUCAGCUCUAACUCUCCUUCCUUCGCGUCUGUUUAAAGUGGGCCUUCCAGGGUAAAAAGUCCAUUCUGUGCAGGCUGCAGGAAUCACCACGUCUGCUGGACAAGGACAUCAAUGUCUUUGAAGUGUCCUGGCUGGCAGAAUUCCCUGCCGUUUUGCAGCAGCAUGGUUCUCUCUUCUCAGCUCAUGGAAUGACAAGCUUGCAGGAGGCCUCAGUGGCCUUGGCAGCUGGCCAGUGUUUAGACAGUUUCUUGUACUGUUUUAAUAAGAGGCAUGGUGGAACUGGGCCUUUGCCUCAUUACCUCUCCUGUGACUGGGCAGCCUGGCAGCAUGGAAGCCCGUCAUCUGGAGCUGCGUGCAAAGCUCCCCUCAGCUCCUGAAGAAGCUUUAUAGGUGAGGAACCUUCCAGAAAGCACCAGGGCUCUCUGUGCCCUCCCUUUUUUUGUAGGCAGUUUUCUUUUGAAUUGCCUUUUUGGGCUUCUGAGCCUCCAGGAUGGCUUUGGAAAACAUUUGCCCUGGAAUGUUAUCUCUCACCAACAUCCAUAAACCAUAAACCAUAAAAGAGACAGAAUGGCCCUCACAUGUUAUUUUGGAGACUUAGAGAGAUUAAGUGACUUUUGCCCAGUUGCACAACCAGUUAGUGACAGAAUCAGAGCUAGACCUUAAGUUUGCUGACUUCAAGUCUUCCAGUAUCUGGGUUGUGUUAGAGUCCAGGUGAGGGUGAGACUCACCUGAACCCACCUUCCUAUCUUUUGAGGAUUCAUGAGAUGAAGACUGACUGAGGCAGCACCACAUGUAGCUCAAGCCAGAAACAAAGGUGUUACCUCCCUUCCCUACCCCAGACCCCCAAGCACAGGGCAGGGUCUGUGGGUGGUAUAAUCUAGUUUCUGUGCUACAAGUUUAGGAAGCAAUAAAUGACACCAGGGAACUUAAAAAGAGGGAGGAGCAUAGUGAAAAGGGCCAGAAUCUCUCAGUCUUGGGCCUAAUUAACUGUGUGAUCUUGAACAAGUCACUUCCCUACUUCAGGCUUCUGGUCACUUGAAGAGGAAUGGGUGGAUUGAGCUGGCCACCUCCUUGUAGUUCUGGAAUUCUGUCCAUCCAUUCCCUCAUCCAUCCUUCCAUCCAUGCAUGUAUCCAUCCAUCCAUCCAUCCAUCCAUCCAUCCAUCCACCCUUCCAUGUAGGUAUCAAGCCAUCCAUCCAUAUUUCCAUCCAUCUACCCAUCCAUCCAUCCAUCCAUCCAUUCAUCCAUCCACCCACCCACCCAUCCAUCCAUCCAUCCAUCCACCCACCCAUCCAUGCAUGUAUACAUGCAUCCAUCCAUCUGCUCAUCCAUCUCUCCAUUCACUCAUCUAUCCUUCCAUCCAUCUAUCUUUCUAUCCAUUCACCUACCCAUCCGUUAACCCACCUAUCCAUCCCCUGUGCCAUCCCCCAGUGUUUGCAUCAGAAAACAGAUUAAGAAGCCUAUAGCUAGGUCUCCAUAGUUGAGGAGCUUACAGUUUUGUCCGAGGUCAGUGGGCCAGGAUUCCAUCCCAAAGCUGCCUGAACCCUGAAGCCACUAGGCUUCAAGGUACCUUGACCUUUGGACCCUUCCUGCUUCCAUGAGCUGUCAGAUCAUAAACCAUUCUUCUGCCCUACUCUGUGUCCCAUGCAGGGAUCCCACUCCACAUGCAUUUCCACUUCGCAUGCUCAUGCCAAUCUUGUGACAUGGGGCUUUCUCUACCCACUUAAAAGAGGAGAAGACUGAAGCUCUGAGAGACAGAGAGCUUAGUCCAGGGCCUCAUUUGUGACAUCUGUCCUGUGCUCCCACUGUAAUUCUGAUGCCUGGUUCAGAUCUUGGCUCUGCAUCUUGGGAAAGUUACUUCCUUCCCUAAGUCUCUGUUUCCUCAACUGUGAAAUGGGAUAAUAACAGUCCCCAUCUCAUCAGAUUGUUGUGGGCAUUAUAUGGUAUAAGGCAUGUGAAUGGCAUAUUGUAAACACCCAAAUGUUGGUCAUCACAAUCAUUAUACAUAGUAUAUGCUUCCAAUCAAGGUCAGAGAGGUAGUAGGCAAAUUUCAAAGGGAGGACUGACUGCUUCAUAAUAUUUGAUGGAUGGAGGGUGGAAGGAAUGAGGAAGACUUUCUCUCAAGGCCACAGUUAAGGCCAGUGUGUUAGGAGCAGGUCCACAAAUGUGCAGCCAGAGGCUCCAUCUUGUGCUGUGGGAGGCAGGCACGGGAGCCACAAUUAAUUUCUUUUACCACCAAGCAGCAGGCAUCAAGCCUCAUUACCCUGAUGAGUCCAUGAGCCGGGGGAUUUGUGUAAUCUUGUUUUCCCUCCAGCCGGCCUCCCGGAACGCCAUUGUGCUGGCACUGAAGCCUCAGUGACCCCACCGAAUUGCCCGUGCCCGACGGAAGCCUUGCCUCACUAAGCACUGUCUGCUUUCAUGAGAGCCCCACAGAUCACCCCUCUGUGCUCUGUCUGGUCAGGCAUUUCCAACCCCUCUCAGCCUCCUCCAUCCUCUACUCCUGGGUCAGGCAAAGUGGGAUGAAGCCUUUCCACACCCUGAAAUUGCCAAGAUAUAUUCAAGCAAAUUGUGAAACUCUCAAAGUUGCACAGGACUGAGAAGAAAAGGGAGACUUGUGUUCCAUGAAUGUUUCCUUAUGCCAGUGACUUGAUACCCACUUAAUAUCCAGAAUGUGGAGGCCCCUAUCAGAGUGACUUCACAGACUACAGGGGAUCACUUGGAAUCCCAGAGGAUGGAACUGCAAAGGUCAUGGAGAGGUUUUGUGUCAUGUUGGAGUUGACUCCUGACUCCCUCUCUUCUUGGCUGGGAGACCUUAGACUAUUUUCUUGUCUCUGUGAGUCUGUUUUCUCAUCUGAAAGCUCUACCUCCCUGAAGGUAAGGAGGAAGAAAUGAGACCAUAGCUUGUAGGAGGAACUCAAAAAAUAUUGGUUCUCCUCCUUCUCAUUUGUUCAUGUGACAACUUGGAACUUACUAAAUGCCAGGCCCGGUGACAGCAGUAAACUGGACAGUCACAGAUGGCUCUUCCUUUCCCUGUUAUCUCAUGGGAGUGGUGGACACCAAACAGUGAAUUAUACAAAUCAUUUACGAGCCACCAGUGUGAAAAGUGCUACAAGGCAGCAUCCACAGGCGGAUAAGAGAGCCAACCCAGAGGGCACCAAUCUGAUGGGGCCUGUCCUGUGGGAGGUCAGAUCUAUCUAUCUAUCUAUCUAUCUAUCUAUCUAUCUAUCUAUCUAUCUAUCUAUCUAUCUAAAUAUCUAUCUAUCUGUCUAUCUGUCUGUCUGUCUGUCUGUCUGUCUAUCUGUCUGUCUGUCUGUCAUCUAUCUAUCUAAUCUAUCUAUCAUCUACCUAUCUGUCUAUCUUAUCUAUCUAUCUAUCUAUCUAUCUAUCUAUCUAUCUAUCUAUCUAUCUCCCUGUCUAUCUAUUGACUCACUCUGUUGCCCAGGCAGGAGUGCAAUGGCAGGACUGCAGCUCAUGACCUCCUCAGGUCAAGUGAUCCUCCCACCUCAGCCUCCUGAUUAGCAGGGACUACAGGCAGGUGCCACCACACUCAGCUAAUUAAAAAAGAAUUUUGUAGAGGCAGGGUCUUGCUCUGUUGCCUAGGCUGGUCUUGGACUCCUUGCCUUAAGUUACCAUCCCACCUCAGCCUCUCAAAGUGCUAGGAUUACAGGCAUGAUCCACUGCACCCGGCCAGAGGUCAGUUUUAAACAGAGACUGAUCUACUGAUUUUGGAGAAUUUGCCCCAGUGGGGUAGGGGAGCAGUCCACCAAAGAGAAUGACCUGUGUGGUGCUGGAAGUGACAGAGCGUAGGUGUGAUGCAGUGCAGUGGGGCAGAGGAGAGAAGGGUGUGAGAAAGAGCUGGGGAAGUGGGCAGGGAUUCUGCAGCGCUUUCCCCACAUGGCCUGCCUCCAAGCCUCAGGAAGCAUUCUCAGGAUAAAGCUCUGCUAACAAAUCACAUCUUCCCAAUAAAAUCCAUCACUGUUUAUUUUUGAUGGAUUGUGUGGCUGGCAAUAUCUCCUUGGGCCUUUGGAUGUUGAUGUUUGCAAACUGUUCUUUCAUUUCUCUGCAAGUCUGUGUUGUUAAAGCCAGAUAUUUCAUGCCAAAAGCAUAAAUGUAAUGUGUUCCUGGUGGACUCUGGCUCAGAGCAGGGGGAUGAACUGAUGAAGGUCUUCCCAUCACAACACUGUGAGUCCUGGAAUCACGUUCCCUCCCAAGCCAAAGGUCUGAUGAUGCUCAAUGAUGGAAAGCAAUUUCUUCUAAUGGGUGGGUCCCCAGUACUUUAUGGAACUAAUUCCAUUGAGUUCCCCUCCACACAGGUGGAGCUGGGAUGAUCUCACCUUUCCAGAUAAGGGAAGGUUAACUCACUCACUGAGGGACGUCUAGCUUGAGAGCUGGAGUAAGGAUUCAAGCCCAGGUCUCCAACCCUGAGCUUUAAGCAUGGCGCUCUGGACCAGGUCAGUCAAACAAUGUGGGUGGUUAAGAGUUAUGAGGGUCACUGGAGAGGCUGAGAAGUGUGUUUGGGUUUAUUUCACACACAGGGAAAUUGUCAAUGAAGUGUUUAAUAGAGAAAGUGAAUCAGCACUUUGGUCUCCCAAGCUCAGCCAUCAACUCCUUAAGCACAGCCUUUAGGGCUGGGAAAGACAUAAUAUUACUUUAGUUUGAGCUUCUGUCUAUUUGUUGAUGAGGAAACAGACCCAGGGCAGUCAGGGAAACUGCCAGCUGCUAUACAGCUAGUUGAGGGUGGAGCUGGGCUGGAGGGUAGGAUUUCUAUGUCCCAUUGGGUGAGCUUCCCAUCUCACCUCAACCACAUCAAAAUUGACCUUCCAGAGGCAGCCACUUCCCGCCUCCCACCCUUCCUUAGUGAAAUAUCUUCACAGAUAAUCCUGCCAUUAGACACCUCAUUAAAUGACAUUUCAUCCCUGGGAUUGGUGUUUAAGUAACAUUUGAUUUGAGGUUUCGAGCUCUAAAUCCUUCAUAUGUCAAGAGGUAUUUCACACUGAAACUUGAAACUAGGGGAAGGGUGGUAAAUACAAAAGUAAGAGUCAGAAUGAGGAAUCUUAAAGCAUAGGUCCAAUUCAGACCCACCAGUUGUAUGAAGUUGGGUGAGCCAUUAAAUCAUGGAAGCAUUUUGUACUCAUCUACAAAUUAGGGAUAAAAAUAGUUUCCUUCCUCUUGACCUCACAUGGUAGCCAUGGCAAUUAAAUCCAUACAUGUAUACAGUAGGUGAGCAAUAAUUGCAGUCCUAAUGUGAAGAGCGAUUUUUCUAAAGCAUUAGUAUGAGCAAGUUCUAUCUUUUAUUCAAAUUCUGCGGUGGUUUUCUUGUGUCUUCAUUCAUUCAUUCACUUAUUCAACAUUUACUGAGCAUCUAGUAUGUGCCAGGCACUGUUUUAGAUACCAGGGACAAAGGAACAAAACAAAGUAUCUGUUUUGAACUUACAAUAUAACAGAGAAAACAGACAACAAGCAAGAUGAAUAAACAAAAAUGGAAUAAGUAAAACAAAUAGUAGAGUCCUGGAGUGAUUGGGGAACACAGGAUGCCCUUGAGUCUAGAGUGAGAGAAAGAGUGGGACUAUAAAAAAUGAGGACUGAAAGACAGUGAGGGGUUGGGGGAUGCAAAGUCUCAUGGCUUUUACUCUGCAUUAGAUGGAAAAGUCUUCGGAAGAUUUUGAGCAGAGGAGAGACAUGAUCAGAUUAUAUUUUAACAGAAUCACUCUGAUUGCCAAAGUGAACACACUGCAGUGACAACAAGGGCAAAAGCAGUCAUCCCAGGUAGAGGAGAUGGUGGCUGGGACCAGGUGUUGUUAGGAAAGUGGCGAGAAACAGUAGGAUAUGAUAGUUCUGUUAUUUGCACUUGGUUGCGUCUGUUAGCUUGCUGCCACUGUUUUGUGACUGUGGUGUGUGAGCUUAUCUUCAGCGGACAUACCUUGCAGCUAAGGUUGAGGGAUACAUCUCCAAGGAAAUUUUGCAUAUGCUUCUUCUGGGCAUCUCAGACACUCAUCCUCAUCAACACUGGGCUACUACCUUAAUUUCGAAAACAGUCAACAAAUAUUGAUUCAUGAGAUGAGCCUGGCCUUUUAGGUAAAUUUCUCUGCUUCAAGUUUCAUCAGCUACAUGGGGAGUAUCAAUGCUAAUAGUAAAUAUGAAUGCAGACAAGCUAUGGGUGUGAAAUCUUUUUUCUAAAUUUUUUUUUUUAUUUUCAUAGGUUAUUGGAGAACAAGUGGCAUUUGGUUACAUGAGUAAGUUCUUUAGUGGUGAUUUGUGGGAUUUGUUGCACCCAUCACCCAAGCAGUAUACACUGCACUCAAUUUGUAGCCUUUUAUCCCUCACCCCAUUUCCCCCUGAGUUCUCAAAGUCCAUUAUGUCAUGCUUAUGCCUUUGCAUUCUCAUAGCCUAGCUCCCACUUACGAGUGAGAACAUAUGAUGUUUGGUUUUCCAUUCCUGAGUUACUUCACUUAGAGUAACAGUCACCAAUCUCAUCCAGUUUGCUGCAAAUGCCA
rnacentral:lncRNA from 1 species